UCUAUGAAAUAUGACCUAUGUUAAUUACAAUAAUUAAUAUAGUGAAAUAUUCUUCCUUCCUAUUUUUUUUUAUUUUGAACUAUGUUGAAAAGCUGUAGACCACUGAUUGGCCAGCUCAUUCUCCUCAGGAGGAUGACAUCAUCCUCUAUGAUGAAAGCAAUCAUUUUUGAGAUGUAAGUUUGAGGUGGGGUUUUUGAAGUGUAUUUUUCCCCCAAUUUAUGCUUUGGGCACAAAUAAGAGUAUAGGAUGAGUCAACAACAUUAUUUGGGUAUAAUUUAACAGAAUAUUAACUUUUAAAAGUGAGAUUUUCACUGGACGGUUACUUUAAUGUCUGCACCAUUGAGUUGUUUGAAAAAAAGCAGAAGAAAAAAUAACAAAAAAAUACAUUAGGUUAGGCCUAGCUGAGAAUGACAUUUUAUCUACAUUGCAGCUUCAGUUGACAACAUUAAGAAGCUCCUACAACACCUUGAAGAAAAUAACACAAUUUGCAGCUAAAUCACGGUGGUAAUCUGUGGCAGUUCACCAUUCAAUAUUCAUUAAUUUUCAGGGAGUUAUUUAGAUUUUCUGAAUUUGCUUAAACUAAUGUAAAAAACUAAAACUCUUCAAGUGAAAAUUGUAUAGUUGAUGAUGUAUUGAGUUACACUAAUGUUUAUAUGACUCUUCUCCUCUCCUUUUUGAGUGUCUCUGACUCACCUCUGGCCGAAAGGGAGCGAACAGGCUAGAGGCCGGUCGGCAUGGCCGAUUAAUUAGGGCCGAUUUCAAGUUUUCAUAACAAUCGGUAAUCGGCCUUUUUGGACGCCGAUUAUUGCCGAUUACAUUGCAAUCCACGAGGAGACUGCGUGGCAGACUGACCACCUGUUACUCGAGUGCAGCAUCAAAAGGACCUUGUGGCUGCAAGGAGCCAAGGUAAGUUGCUAGCUAGCAUUAAACUUAUCUUAGAAAAAAACAAUCAAUCUUAACAUAAUCACUAGUUAACUACACAUGGUUGAUGAUAUUACUAGGUUAACUAUUUAACUAUUAACUGUAGCUAGCUAGUUCGUAAAAUGAUGUAACGUUGACAGAAUCUACCUGAGAAUGUGUGUAUUUUCAUUAGCUUGGUUAAGUUAUGCUUGCUAGCUAUAUUUGCUAGCUGAAAAUAAUUGUUAUUCAUGUCUCUGUUAUUCAUGUUUCUUCUACACAGUAUCUAACAAAGAUACAUUGACAGGGGAGAUCACCGUGAGGGCUGCCUGUCACAGGUCCAUGAGGAAGAGUGAAAAGCCACACAGCAUGAGAGUAGGGAAAGGCUAUAGAUAGCUACUAGGGACCUUGUUAAACAUCUCCUGUGAGACACUGUCAUCAUGGUCAAAAUGUGUUGGAGACAGUGUCAACGUUUAAUCUUAUCAGUAGAUAGAUAUUGUAAUGAUACUCGUCUGGUGAAGGAGAAGAGGACCAAAAUGCAGCGUGGUACGUGUUCGUCAUAAUUUAAUAGAAAACUGAACACUACACAAAAUAACAACGAGGAGAAAACGAAACAGUUCUGCAAAGUGAACAGACACUACACAGAAAAUAAACACCCACCAACCAAAAUGGGGAAAACAGGCUACCUAAGUAUGAUUCUCAAUCAGAGACAAUGAUCGACAGCUGCCUCUGAUUGAGAACCAUACCAGGCCAAACACAGAAAUACAAUAACAUAGAAAAAAGAACAUAGACUACCCACCCCAACUCACGCCCUGACCAACCUAACACAAAGACAUAAAAAAGGAACGAAGGUCAGAACGUGACAGAUAUUAAUGAUGGGUCCCAAUCCUGAUUUAGAAUUGCCCACUUAACAGGUUAUUUAGUAAAGAUCUGUUGAUGCAGUGUUUGGUAAUUGUGUUACUGAGACACAUUGUAUUCCUGUAUAGUUAAAUGAGCCCCUAGUUAAGAAGACUAGACACUACUAUGUUUAUUGUUAUUUAUGAGCCGCGUCAUUCUUGUUUCUCACUUCAGUCACUUCAGUCUUAUCUUCACAGAUGGUGUUAAAGCACUCAGUACCAGUGAUAGUGGUCCAAAGCCACUGCUCCUGUGUUGCAGGAAGUGCUCUGUGCAAUCAUCUGGUGGCCCUUCUUUACCAGACAGCGCACUACUCUCAACUAAACAUUCCUGCUGCACCACCAGUUCACAGCUGCACAGACUCGUUGGCACAAGCCAAGAACACUUGGUGUGAAACCAGGUCCGGUUGAUGGGAUAGAGUUCUGUAAACCUACUAACUCGUGUGCUGAUGGAAUAAGAAGUUCUCUCUACAAAGCACUCAAUGGAUACAUGUCUGACAUGGACCUUCUCUCCGUAUGCCAACCUUUCUCCACUUCCUGCCCCUCUUGUGACAACAAUGGAAAUGUCAGCUGACGUGCCCCUGGUUGAGUCCGCCUUUGGGCCAGUACAAGCCGGCAGUGUUCUGUCCUAUCAGCUUCCACAGCCAAAGACCCGUGAAAUUGUGAAGAUUGCCAAUGCCACUUCUCCACCAAUACUUCCAUUGGAUGGCUACAGGCUUCAGGCUUCCUAGUGUGCUUACGUCCUUAGCCAUCAGGAGCAGUUCCACCUCAAGGCAUUAGAGACAACCUACGAGAUGUCACACAAAGUCGAGGUUGCUACAAGGGAGCAGAGCAGCAGCCCGGAAUGGCAAGGGAUCUGGUAUGCAGACCAUGGAGAUGAAGAGGGGGCUAGCCAUGGAGCCAGUGGCUGUACAGGAGUACUGCACACUGAAGAAUGUUAACUUCUACAGUAGAAUAGAUUUGUUUAAAAAAAUGUAUUUCAGCAAAUGUUCAACAGUUCAGUUAAUCAAUUACUCAUCUCUAACAUUGUAUUCAAUCUUGCAUUCUGGCUAUUCUGUGUUUACUUGAUUUCUUUCCCCCACCCAUCAGAACAAAGGACAGAUUUUCACCGGACUAAUGUCCAUUGCUUGUGUUUCUUGGCCCAAGCAUUCUCUUCUUCUUAUUGAUGUCCUUUUAGUAGUGGUUUCUUUGCAGCAAUUCGACCAUGAAGGCCUGAUUCACGCACUCUGAACAGUUGAUGUUGAGUUGUUACUCAUUGCCUAAUUAAAGCCAAUACAAGCUCCACACAAACGAUUGAUACAUGUCGUAGAUAAACAAAUUAUUAUUUUGCUGCUA